UCCACAGUAGCUCAGUGGUAGAGCUAUCGGCUGUUACCCGAUCGGUCGUAGGUUCGAGUCCUACCUGUGGAGCCA
rnacentral:tRNA from 1 species